UGUGUGUGUGUGUGUGUGUGUGUGUGUGUGUGUGUGUGUGUGUGUGUGUUCAGUCUGUUGGCUACAGUGAAACCACAGGUGCAGGUUCACAAAGGAAGUGGAAGUCUCACCUUCCCCUCCUGCAUUGUCCGAACAGAACACGACACACUAUUCUGAAGUACCCUCAGCGCUGGCUGAGUCUCUAAUCAUACCCUAUUCCCCAUAAAGUGCAUUACUUGGCAGAUAAAUGUUACUGUAUAGCAGGGUUCCCCAAUAGGCAGCCCCCCAAGUUUUCUGAACAAAAUUAUUUKUAUUUAUUUAUUUUUAAAUAAUGGUUGUUGUGGGACAUAAAAAAACAGUGAAAUCAGCUCAAAGUGAUUUUAAUUUAGGAAAUCUGUCAAGUAUUCCCGCGCAUGAAUGGAGAUGAUCAUAUCCCAGUGGAAUCAAGGUUUGAAAUUAUGUUUUUGUCAAAUACUAUAUCUGUUUGGGAUACAUGUGGUCAAUUUGCAGGGUACAAAUAAUUUAUAACCAUCUUCCGGCUCCCCGACCAUCCGCUCAAGAAGAAAUUGUCCCCGGCUGAAUGUAAUUGGGAACCCCUGCUGUAUAGGGCUUUGGUCAAAGACAGGGCACUAUAUGAAGAAUAGGGUCAUGUGAGAUGAAAUCCCCCCGACCCCCUUUUUCUGUUCCUAAGAACAGGACUGUCGUCAUGCUUUUGUCCAACGGUCCAAUGGAGAGCCCCCUUACUGUGGAGGGCUAACCUCUCACAUGCUCUGCAUUGGCCUAUCAGAAGGAGGGUUGUUGAUGUCAGUGCCCACCUCUUUGGAGUGUUCAGAAGGCUGAAACAUUCCAGAACGUUCAAAUGGAAAUGUAACGUAUUGCAGAGACCAUUGCUUACUAUACAUGUCCAUCUUAACUUUCUGUAAUGUUGCACUCUCCUGAACGCRACCCUGUUGUUCCCAUGACUUGCCUUAUGACUUGCAGGUAGAGCUUUAGGCAGCUAGUCCCACCYAAUGAGAAAUUGGAUGAGUAGAAUGGAAAAAGUAUAAAACCACAGACAAAAUCCACAUAGAUUUCACCCCGGUCAACACUUUGCCAUUGUUGUUUGAGUAGAAUACUGAGAAAGGCUUGGUUUCCUCAGAAAUUCCGAGUGAUAAGCAUUUUAUUCAACAUUACAACAUGGUACAUCCAAUAUGGCUGCUGGUCCACAUGUUGUGGAUCUUUGUCCAUUCUACUCAUUCUACUUCUAUCCCCCCAUCCCUUUCCAUCCUUCGAAGCUCCGCCCUCUCCAAGAUAAACCAAAGGAUGUCACGAAGCAGAGCACCACCACUCCUCUCCUUCUCUUGUCCUCUUCCCUCCUCUCGUCUCCUCCCUCCCUUGUUAGAUUGCACUAAUCCAUUACUUAAUUACAACGUCUAUGAUUGUGUUCUGAUUUAUGUUAAGCUACUAAUAUGUUAUAUUAUAACUGGGGACAAUACUGUGUAUUAUCACUGUCUGUGCGCUUAGUAGAGAAUGGAAACUAAGGCUGUGUCAUGGCAACUUUUAUCAAUGCAUAACUACUUUAUGUGUUUUACUAUUAGAGACAUCCGCCAGCAUACUAUCUAUGUGUUACUUCAGGGGUGGACGACCUUACUCCUAGCGAGCUACUGGGUAUGCAGGCUUUCUCUCCAGCCCUGCUCUAACAACUGAUUAGUAAAAGCAGGUGUGUUAGUCGGAGCAGGGCUGGAGCAAAAACCUGCAUAUUCAGUAGAUCUCCAGGAGGAGUGGUGGUCACCUCUGGUUUAUAUGUUACCUGCUAUCCAACCAACCUGUCAUAUCAUCUAAUGAAAUAAUAUGUACAAUGAAAAAUCAUUCCUGUAGAUUGUGGUUCCACACUGGUAUUAUUGUUGUUCAUCCACGCUGUCCAGGGGGGUUCAGGUGAGUUGGCAUGUUGGUGUAACUCGCUGUCCAGGGGGGUUCAGGUGAGUUGGCAUGUUGGUGUAACUCGCUGUCCAGGGGGGUUCAGGUGAGUUGGCAUGUUGGUGUAACUCGCUGUCCAGGGGGGUUCAGGUGAGUUGGCAUGUUGGUGUAACUCGCUGUGCGGAAUGACGUAAUGUGAUGUUCCAAAGGUUUGGCUUGGAAUCUCUGAAAAAUGUCCUUUUGAUACGCGUUAUUGAGAUGUGUUGGUUUUUAACCACAAUCAUUCAACAUUGCCUUGUAACCUUCUGCAGAAGUGUCUGUCCGUCACGUGUAGUCCUAGACAAGCGGCAGUGUCUGACUGAGUUAGUACUUCUUAAAACACUACCUUGGAUUGCUUUCUUACUGUGCAAAUGUUCUAUUGCUGGACUUUGUGCCUAAUCUGCAAAGUUUUGAAUAAUACCCAAAAGCCAUCUGAAACAUUUUCCAUUUUAACAGUUUGAAUCAUACCCCAAAAUAGCGACUAAACAAAGCUUGUAUCGGAUAAAUCAUAUAAAGGUUUAAAUUUAAAUAUUAUCAAUAGGUAUUUUGUUGCUAGUGGUGCCCAGAUUCUUUGAAAAAAAUAUAUAUAUUCUCCUACUUUACAAUUUUUCCUUAUCAAAAAUAUUUUAUUAUGUCAAUUUCUUAAGAUGGCAUAUGCAAUAUAUUUUUCAGAGGGACUAUUUUUGACAAAUGUAUGUGUAAAUCGAGGAAGUAAAACUUUUUCAUUUUAUUUUAGCUUAGUUUUGAAUUUGAAUCACAAGUCAUAAAUUGAGAUUUGACCAAAAACCUGGAAGACGAGAAAUGGGAAGGGUUAGGUUAUGUUUUGGUUAAUUUCUGACUAUAAGGGUUGGUGCAAGAUCUGAGGUCCCUACCUAAAAGAUGUUGGUUAYACUUUAUUUUACAGUCCAGUAUUCACUUGGGCCCAGAUUCACAAAACACUUCAUAAGAUUGUCGUAAGUGCAAUUCCUCCACAAUAUCUUAAGAUUUAAUGAUUUUCUUACGAACUUCUCAAAUAUCUUCUUACAAAUCAUCUUAAAAUGUUUGUUGCAAGGAAACCGUUUUAACUAGCUAUCGAGCUUGUAUGCCAAUCAUGUUAGCAUAUUUCUUCCUGAGAUUACUGUUCUAAAACAUGUUUUKGGGUUUAAAAUAAUACGUUUGUGAGUGAAUUAAACAUUUUCAAUUGCUUUCAUGAGCUUUUUCUCUCACUGCCCUGAGUUUAAGACAAGGGUUUGGCUAUCUUUAGAAUUAACAUUUCCAAUAAUUUUAUUUAAGAAUCUAAUUUCUUAACUUUUUACUUAAGGAGAAACAUAAGAMAUUGUGCAAGAACCUUUUUGAGGAAUAGCAACUUGGCAUAACUUUCUUCUUAAGUCUAUAGUUAAGGAAAAAGUGUCAGUUAAGAAGAAAUGUCUUCUUUAAAAAGGUUUUGUGAAUCUGGGCCCUGGUAUUUACUUUAAAUUUGCAUGGUUAAAUGGCAGUUAGUUACCUAAUAUUUACUUAGUAAUUACAUUUUAGUUUCUUAAAGAUUCAUUGGAAAAAGUAUAACUUGGUACCAAGUAGUUACCAACCUGAGUUGAAUUCUUUGAAAUAAUAACCAGAAGGCAGAAGUGCCAUUUGAGACGUGACCUACUCUGUACUCUGCUGUGGUGUUACCACUUAAUAUCUUUCUGAAUACUAUAUAAAUACCAGCUAAAAGAGGACUGUAAAUAGAGUUUUAUGAAAUUAUUAAGUGUACAUAUUUGAACCCUGACUCUGUGACCCCUGACCCUCUGUAGACAGCAAUUGCACAGUGCAGUAGUAGUAUUUUUUUGCAAGACCUGUAGCUGAUGAUUAUAUUUAAAAAUGAAUACAUAAAUAUUUAAAUGGAGUAAACCAAUACAAUAUAUAAAGAUUUCAAUUUAACUUA